rnacentral:tRNA from 1 species
GGCGCAUUCGUCUAACGGUUAGGACGUAACCCUCUCAAGGUUAAAAUAGGGGUUCGAUUCCCCUAUGUGCUA